AUUGAACGCUGGCGGCAGGCCUAACACAUGCAAGUCGAACGGUAGCACAGAGAGCUUGCUCUCGGGUGACGAGUGGCGGACGGGUGAGUAACGUCUGGGAAACUGCCCGAUGGAGGGGGAUAACUACUGGAAACGGUAGCUAAUACCGAAUAACGUCGCAAGACCAAAGUGGGGGACCUUAGAGCCUCACACCAUCGGAUGGGCCCAGAUGGGAUUAGCUAGUAGGUGGGGUAAUGGCUCACCUAGGCGACGAUCCCUAGCUGGUCUGAGAGGAUGACCAGCCACACUGGAACUGAGACACGGUCCAGACUCCUACGGGAGGCAGCAGGGGGGAAUAUUGCACAAUGGGCGCAAGCCUGAUGCAGCCAUGCCGCGUGUAUGACGAAGGCCUUCGGGUUGUAAAGUACUUUCAGCGGGGAGGAAGGCGGUGAAGUUAAUGACUCAACCGAUGGACGUUACCCGCAGAAGAAGCACCGGCUAACUCCGUGCCAGCAGCCGCGGUAA
rnacentral:rRNA from 1 species